CAUCUCUGAGACAGUCUGCAAAGACCUGACGGUGAAAUCACUGAAACCAUGAUCAAGGUUGUGUUUCUGCUUGGAUGCCUGCUGAGCCUUGCUCUGGCAAAUCCUAAUGACUCAGCACACGAGCGCGAUGCACGUUCUUCAUCUGGGGAGGGGACUUUUGGGACCCUAAAUCGUCUUACCCUGCUACUACCUCUUCUACAGAAUCCACUACUUCUGCAGAAUUCAACGCUCCUUGCUUUGAUUCUUGCUGCUAUACGAUAAGCUGCUUCUUAACCUACAGCUAUUACUGCCACAAAGGAUGAACUGAAAAUCAAUGAACAGUGAAUAAAAACCUAUGUUGAAUUGCACUGGGGUUCUUUUGUCAUUUAUUUACAGGAUUAU